AGGAAAAGAAACUAACAAGGAUUCCCCUAGUAACGGCGAGUGAAGCGGGAAGAGCUCAAAUUUGAAAUCUGGUAGCCUUCGGUUGCCCGAGUUGUAAUCUAGAGAAGUGUUUUCCGCGUUGGCCCAUGUACAAGUCCCUUGGAACAGGGCGUCAUAGAGGGUGAGAAUCCCGUCCUUGACAUGGACCCCCAAUGCUUUGUGAUACACUUUCAACGAGUCGAGUUGUUUGGGAAUGCAGCUCAAAAUGGGUGGUGAAUUCCAUCUAAAGCUAAAUAUUGGCGAGAGACCGAUAGCGAACAAGUACCGUGAGGGAAAGAUGAAAAGCACUUUGGAAAGAGAGUUAAACAGUACGUGAAAUUGUUGAAAGGGAAACGAUUGAAGUCAGUCAUGCUCUUUGGAUUAAGCCGUUCUGCGGUGUAUUUCAUUGAGCGGGGUCAACAUCAGUUUUGAUCGCUGGAAAAGGGCAGGAGGAAGGUAGCACUCUCGGGUGAACUUAUAGCCUCUUGUCGUAUACAGUGAUUGGGACUGAGGAACGCAGCAUGCCUUUUGGCCGGGAUUCGUCCACGUACAUGCUU
rnacentral:rRNA from 1 species